rnacentral:rRNA from 1 species
UACGAACGGGGCUAGCGUUGCUCGGAAUCACUGGGCGUAAAGCGCACGUAGGCGGAUUUCUAAGUCAGGGGUGAAAUCCUGGAGCUCAACUCCAGAACUGCCUUUGAUACUGGGAAUCUCGAGUCCGGGAGAGGUGAGUGGAACUGCGAGUGUAGAGGUGAAAUUCGUAGAUAUUCGCAAGAACACCAGUGGCGAAGGCAGGUACCUGGGACAUGACUGACGCUGAGGAACGAAAGCUAGGGGAGCGAAAGGG